rnacentral:hammerhead_ribozyme from 1 species
AUCCAACUGGCAAGUCCCAAUCAGGACGAAACGCGCAUCUUGGAU